rnacentral:misc_RNA from 1 species
GUAGGGAUCAUUUAUGGUAAAAAAGGUGAAAACCUUUUUACUAAUCUCUAACUCUGUGCAAUGGAGCACACGGCUCGUGCAUCGAUGAAGCCCGCGGCAAAAAGCGAUAUGUAAUGAGAUUCGUUAGCCUCGAGAUUCAUCAAAUUGGUGAACACAGACUGGACCUCUUCGGAGGUACUUGCGUUAGAGUGCUAGUUUUAUAUCAGUUGAUCCUGGUAAAAGGUGUAUUUAUCAUAAGAUAGAUAUACCCUAGCUGGUGAUGCCGAAUUCUUUAAUGAAUUCGGAUUGUCCAAACUGAAUUAACCUUUAUUGGAAAAUUCAAUGGCAAUCUUUUACUUAACUAGCCUCUAAUGUGAGAGGGUACCCCCUGGAUUUAAGCAUAUUAAUAAGGGGAGGAAAAGAAAUCAACAGAGAUUCUCCUAGUACCUGCGAGGGAAAAGAGAAAAGCCCAUCCUGAAUCUAAGACUUGUCUUGGAGUUGUAGGGUGAGGAUGUUAUGCCUUGUGCUGAGAAUCGUGAAAUUACCUGCAAAGGUAUUCACAAGUGAAUCCAUAGAGGGUGUUAGGCCCGUUAGCGAUUCAUUCAGUGCUGUACGGUAUGAUAUCUACGAGUAGGAUUGUUUGAUAGUACAAUCUGAAUAUAGGGGAUAAACUUCCUCUAAGGCUAAAUAUAAUGCACGAGACCGUUAGUAAACAAGUACCGUGAGGGAACGUUGAAAAGUACUCUGGUAAGAGGGUGAAAAGAGUGUGAAAUUGCAUAGAUUUAAGCGUAACCAAGUAUCGAUUCUUGUAGUGUUCUCUCUGGUUCAUUACAGGUAUCCAACAACUCUGUUUUUGUUAAUUCAAGAAUUGGGCUACACAUGCUAAUAAUGCCGUUGUAAAUGAGUUGUAUAGAUAAAAAUUUUGUUGCUGCGUUCUUGUUUCACGACUUGGAUGUGGUACCGGAAUCUAGUUUAUAUGAUUUGUUGCAAAAGACCGGUCCUAUAGCAUAUUGUUGGUAUGGUAUUUGGGAACGUCCCGUCUUGAAACACGGACCAAGGAGUCUAGCAUAUCUGCAAGCCGUAGCAAUUUUAAUUGUGAAGGCGUAAUGAAAGUAUAUUGUGUUAACAGCACAAACCGGACCAUUUGGUUUGAGUUAGAGUAAAUAUGCUAGUACCCGAAAGGUGAUGAACUAUGCCCGGACUGGUUGAAGCCAGGAGAAAUCCUGGUGGAGGACCUCCCGCGGUGCUGACGUGCAAAUCGCUCGUCCGAGCUGGGUAUAGGAGCGAAAGACUCAUCGAAUCGCCUAGUAGCUGGUUCCUGC